ACACUUACCCUGUCACAAGGGACGCCGCCAUCACGAAGGCAGUUUCCCAGGACAAUGGUUUCUCAUUGCGCUCUGGCUGGGUCAGCCCCUGUGGUUUCCCCAAAUGUGCUGAAUGCACUGUAUAAUUUGUGAUGAUGGGAGGCCGUGUUUGUCCUUGCCCCGC
ensembl:snRNA LOC120100245 U1 spliceosomal RNA